UCUUCUUUUUUUUUGUUGUUGUUGUUGCAUGGCAUGUCUUGUAAUCUGUGGAUCUGGGCUGUGUAAAACUUUAUGUGAUGACGCUGAAAGUCCAGUGUAUGUAUGCUGGCAAUUUUGGAUGUAUGCGAACCUUGUUGCUUGAAUGUUAAGUAAUAUGUUAGUGAUGUUGUGUGUGGAUGAUGAAUUGUUGUGCCUCUGUUUAUUGUGCGAAUUUAUUUCCUCAGUAAUUUCAGUGCGGCAUAAUUCUACACAUGUCUACCGUUGAUGGC
rnacentral:lncRNA from 1 species